ensembl:lncRNA
GGGUCCCCAUCUCUUCAAAAGUACAUCCUGAGACUACAAGGAAGGGAUUUAUCUCACUUGAUUCUCUAUUAAAAAAAGAAAAAAGCAUAUAUUUAGUGCAACUGAGUGAACAGAAUAUCUAUGGUUGUUUACACAGAGAAAAACUGAUGCUGAUGUCAAUCUGAAUUGGGCCUGGACUGGAAGCAAUUUGGAAUGGAAACUCUACAUUUGCUUCUGGAAGAGCCUAAAUUUAGUUUUCAGGCCAAUACUUCUAAGUGAGAUAAGCCUUUUUGAAAAGAACUCAGAUCAGAACUGAUGGGAGCAGAAUACCUUAAAUCUUCUGGAAAUAUUAUCUUAUAUCUGGGGUCAUCUCAGAUGUCUCGUGGUCUUUGAAAACUGAGCUCUGAGCUCCUGUUCUUUCUGCUUUUAUUUGCUUCUUCGAAAUGUCUGGUUUUAUGGGUGGGAUUAAGGCACGGUGUUUGAGAGAGGCUAAAGAUUUAUGAGCAGCUAUGAAAAAGUUAUGGACCACAGUGUUCUUGAGUUGGGGGAAGGCUACAUUAAAUGUUUCUACUUUUGAGCUUGUGAUCAUGUGCAAGUUCAUUCAGAAGGCCACAAAUGAGAGUGUCAGUUUAUAAGUCACCAGGCUGUGCAGUCAAUUAAUUGCUGAUUAACUUCCACUGGCUGCCAAACAGAGUCUGGAAGCUGAAGAUAAAAAAAUUGGAAGUCACUUUUGCUGGUUUUUCUGUACUAAGGAUUUGUGUUGUGGUAGCAAACUGCUGAGCACUACAUCUCAAAAGUAGAAGGAGUUUGAGGAGUAAUUGAUAAUUGUUUAAUAUUCUCAGCACCCAACAGAAAAAAAAUACAGAUAUUUUCAUCUGCAGAUGAGACAAAGAUAAGAAGCCUAAGUGUUGCCAGUAAAAAAACCCUAAAGUGCCAUUUUUAGUGAGGACCAUGAGUAGGAUAUCCACUGUCUCCUGGAGGAUUUCAUGCAGAAGCCACUUUGUCUUGCACGUGGGAGGUUCUUAGUGAGAGUAACCAGGGUAUUUAAAUCACUUUCUUGCCAGUGGAAAAGGACAGAAAACACAGCAGUGCAAUCACCAAUAGCCUUCAUUUUAAAGGAAGGUGCUGGCUAAUUAACAAAGGUUUCUGUGUAGUAGUUUCUGUGUAGAGUGUAGUUUCUCUGUUUAAAUUGAGAGCUGUGCCAGAGCAGCAGUCUCAGUCUGUGGUUACAGUGAGGGGAAGGUGCUGCUGAGCUUUGCCACCACCCACCCUGGGUGACCUCAGUGGCAUUUGUGAGGGAACAGAGAGCUGGGACACAUUUGGUCAGGGAGAGAAACACAAGGUUGACUCAAGAGGCAAAACAAUGUAAACACUGAAUAUGAAGGGGAAAAUGUGCAGCAAAACUGACAUCUUAAGAAUUCUGCUUCUAAGUGGGUUUUUUGUUUAUCCCACUGGUCAAACCUGGCUGUGCAGCAAAGCAAGCCAAAGAAAGUCUCCUUUAUUGUUUCCAUGAUGCUUACUCAUCUAAAAGCCAUUCCCCUUUUAGAUUAUUCUAUUUUUAAGGCAUAAUUCCCAUCUGUUCUUUGAUCUUAUACCACGUAAGACAUUUAGCUAAUAACAUCAUCCAUCAAAUACCAACUUGCCUUUAGAGUUCAAACACAAUUGACACAGAACCUGUCCAUCUGCUAGCCAGUGCCUCUGAACAGAUCCAGCUUGUGAAUGGCCAGCUAUGUUGCCUAUUUUUUGAUUAACCAGCUUAGGUCUGUGCUUCACACAAUCCUGCAGGAUGACUAGGGGGCACUCCACAGGGAAGUGAAACACCCUCCUCUGCAGAGAAGAGGGUUUGGUGCAUCCAGAGCUGUGAAUGCUUGUUUGAAAUGGGGUUUGCCAGUGGAUGGAACCUGCCUUCAGCCUCUCAGGGCAUUUUUUUUUUUUUUUUGGUAUAGACCCAUAAUAUUUUAUGAAAUAUUUUAAAGAAUAAUUUCUUUCAAACUUGGCCUUCUUCAGAGAAAGGUGUGUAAAGUAGAAAGAAACUUUUCUUCUCUGAGCAAAGUUCCAAUUUUAUUUGACAGAAACUUCAGAAUUUCAGGGCAGGUUGUCGGAAGCAGGGGAAUCUCAGAUUUGCAGAGAGGUAUUUAUACAGAAAAUGCUUGCCUGCUUACCUAACUGGAGAGCCAGAGAAUGCCAGAUGAUUUAGUCGACCAAUUGUAGUGAAGCAGCAUAUCUUGAAUUAACGCUAUCUGAGAUCAAUCACAGUUAAAAAAAGCCUAAGAAAAACUGGUCAUGAGAAAAAAAAAAAAAAA